rnacentral:tRNA from 1 species
AAUGAUGUGCCUGAUUAAAGGAUUAUUUUGAUAGAAUAAAUUAUAUAAUUAUUAUCUUCAUUA